rnacentral:lncRNA from 1 species
AAGUCGGACUGCUAGGUCCACGAGUUGCAACAGGCGAGGGCGUGGGAGGCGCGGCAGAUGUGUUUCGCCAAAAAGGUGUAAACCCUAGGGCGCCCCCACCCCUCUAUUUAUAGAGGUUCUUGACGGGCCUCUUGGUCCGAGGCCCAUUAGUACUUCUAAACCUAAUCCAACUCGAAUCACAUCUAAAUUGGGCUUCCAGCCCCUUAAGUGUGUGACCCUAUGGGUUCGGAUACGUAUAGACAUGGCCCGAGUACUCCUACUUGGCCCAAUAGUCGGUAGCGGCCUCUACCAAGAUGUGCCAACUCCUAUACACACACGAAGAUCAUAUCAGACGAACCAUCACAACAUCAUGUACAUG